AUUGAACGCUGGCGGCAGGCCUAACACAUGCAAGUCGAACGAGUGGCGGACGGGUGAGUAAUGUCUGGGAAACUCCCCGAUGGAGGGGGAAAACUCCUGGAAACGGUAGCUAAUCCCGCAUACAAUCGGUUGUCCCCAGAUGGGAUUGGCUAGUGGGUGGGGUAACGGCUCACCUAGGCGACGAUCCCUAGCUGGUCUGAGAGGAUGACCAGCCACACUGGAACGGAGACACGGUCCAGACUCCUACGGGAGGCAGCAGUGGGGAAUAUUGCACAAUGGGCGCAAGCCUGAUGCAGCCAUGCCGCGUGUAUGAAGAAGGCCUUCGGGUUGUAAAGUACUUUCAGCGAGGAGGCGUUACUCGCAGAAGAAGCACCGGCUAACUCCGUGCCAGCAGCCGCGGUAAUAC
rnacentral:rRNA from 1 species